rnacentral:rRNA from 1 species
CGUAUAUUUAAGUUGUUGCAGUUAAAAAGCUCGUAGUUGGAUUUCGGGUGGCUCUCUGCGGUCCGCCUUCGGGUGUGUACUGCUGUCGGCCACCUUUCUGUCGGGGACGGGCUCCUGGGCUUAACUGUCCGGGACUCGGAGUCGGCGAGGUUACUUUGAGUAAAUUAGAGUGUUCAAAGCAAGCCUGAGCUCUGAAUACAUUAGCAUGGAAUAACGCGAUAGGACUCUGGCCUAUCUUGUUGGUCUGUAGGACCGGAGUAAUGAUUAAGAGGGACAGUCGGGGG